rnacentral:rRNA from 1 species
GAUGAGCGCUGGCGGCGUGCCUAAUACAUGCAAGUCGAGCGAACGGACGAGAAGCUUGCUUCUCUGAUGUUAGCGGCGGACGGGUGAGUAACACGUGGAUAACCUACCUAUAAGACUGGGAUAACUUCGGGAAACCGGAGCUAAUACCGGAUAAUAUUUUGAACCGCAUGGUUCAAAAGUGAAAGACGGUCUUGCUGUCACUUAUAGAUGGAUCCGCGCUGCAUUAGCUAGUUGGUAAGGUAACGGCUUACCAAGGCAACGAUGCAUAGCCGACCUGAGAGGGUGAUCGGCCACAUGGGAACGGAGACACGGUCCAGACUCCUACGGGAGGCAGCAGUAGGGAAUCUUCCGCAAGGGGCGAAAGCCUGACGGAGCAACGCCGCGUGAGUGAUGAAGGUCUUCGGAUCGUAAAACUCCGUUAUUAGGGAAGAACAUAUGUGUAAGUAACUGUGCACAUCUUGACGGUACCUAAUCAGAAAGCCACGGCUAACUACGUG